GAUGAAGAACGCAGCGAAAUGCGAUACGUAAUGUGAAUUGCAGAAUUCAGUGAAUCAUCGAGUCUUUGAACGCACAUUGCGCCCUCUGGUAUUCCGGAGGGCAUGCCUGUCCGAGCGUCAUUGCUGCCCUCAAGCACGGCUUGUGUGUUGGGCUCCGUCCUCCUUCCGGGGGACGGGCCCGGAAGGCAGCGGCGGCACCGCGUCCGGUCCUCAAGCGUAUGGGGCUUUGUCACCCGCUUUGUAGGACUGGCCGGCGCCUGCCGAUCAACCAAACUUUUUUCCAGGUUGACCUCGGAUCAGGUAGGGAUACCCGCUGAACUUAAGCAUAUCAAUAAGCGGAGGA
rnacentral:misc_RNA from 1 species